GUGAGGAAUAUUGGUCAAUGGGCGAGAGCCUGAACCAGCCAAGUAGCGUGAAGGAAGAGUGCCUUACAGGUAAUAAACUUCUUUUCUUCGGGAGUAAUGUUCUCUACGAGUUAGGGAAAGCGUAAGUACCGAAGGAAUAAGCAUCGGCUAACUCCGUGCCAGCAGCCGCGGUAAUACGGAGGAUGCGAGUGUUAUCCGGAUUUAUUGGGUUUAAAGGGUGCGUAGGCGGCCCGUUAAGUCAGGGGUGAAGUACGGCAGCUCAACUGUCGCAGUGCCCUUGAUACUGACGGGCUUGAAUACCGGUGAAGGCGGCGGAAUGAGACAAGUAGCGGUGAAAUGCAUAGAUAUGUCUCAGAACCCCGAUUGCGAAGGCAGCUGCCUAACCGGCGAUUGACGCUGAUGCACGAAAGCGUGGGGAUCGAACAGGAUUAGAAACCCGGGUAGUCC
rnacentral:rRNA from 1 species